rnacentral:rRNA from 1 species
AUUGAACGCUGGCGGCAUGCUUUACACAUGCAAGUCGAACGGUAACAGGCCUUCGGGUGCUGACGAGUGGCGAACGGGUGAGUAAUGCAUCGGAACGUACCCAGAGGUGGGGGAUAACGCAGCGAAAGCUGUGCUAAUACCGCAUGUGAUCUGAGGAUGAAAGCGGGGGACCGAGCAGCAAUGUUUGGCCUCGCGCCUUUGUAGCGGCCGAUGUCGGAUUAGAUAGUUGGUGGGGUAAAGGCCUACCAAGGCGACGAUCCGUAGCUGGUCUGAGAGGACGACAAGACACACUGGGACUGAGACACGGCCCAGACUCCUACGGGAGGCAGAAGAGGGGAAUUUUGUAGAAUAGGCGCGAGCCUGAUCCAGAGAUGCCGCGUGCGGAGAGAAGGCCUUCGGGUUGUAAAAAGCUUUUGGCAGGAACGAAACGGUGUCCGCUAAUACCGGGCGCGAAUGACGGUACCUGCAAAAUAAGCACAGGCUAACUACGUG